GGGUAAACCUGAGAAACCCGAAAGGUCGAACGGGGAGAUUCAACCGCGUCUCGACCGCCGGCCGCGGUCCGAACCGCGACGGGCGGCGUUCGCGCCAGCCCGCGCGGCCGGUCGCGCGCAGGUGUCGAACGCGUGCACUUCUCCCCUUGUAGGACGUCGCGACCCGUUGGGUGCCGGCCAAAGGCCCGCUGGGUAGCCCGUCCGGACGGUUCGCGCCGUAUCGGACGGACCCGCGGUGUCCCGGCCGGCGUGCCCGACGGUACGCGAAAGGCGCGGGGCCGCGACUAGUUCGCGUCCGGCCCGCCGCAAGCCCGCGAGGGCUGUUGGCGGCGGAGUCCUCGGACGGUCCCACCGAGCGCCCGUCAGCGACGCUAUAGCUUUGGGUACUUUCAGGACCCGUCUUGAAACACGGACCAAGGAGUCUAGCAUGUGCGCGAGUCAUUGGGACACUCUAAACCUAAAGGCGCAAUGAAAGUGAAGGCGAGCCUCGCGCUCGCCUAGGGAGGAUGGGCCCCGUCGCGGCGGGGCCCCGCACUCCCGGGGCGUUUCGUUCUCAUCGCGAGAUGAGGCGCACCCAGAGCGUACACGCUGGGACCCGAAAGAUG
rnacentral:rRNA from 1 species